CCUACGGGUGGCAGCAGUGGGGAAUAUUGCACAAUGGGCGGAAGCCUGAUGCAGCGACGCCGCGUGAGGGAUGACGGCCUUCGGGUUGUAAACCUCUUUCAGCACGGAAGAAGCGAGAGUGACGGUACGUGCAGAAGAAGCGCCGGCUAACUACGUGCCAGCAGCCGCGGUAAUACGUAGGGCGCAAGCGUUGUCCGGAAUUAUUGGGCGUAAAGAGCUCGUAGGCGGUUUGUCGCGUCUGCUGUGAAAGCCCGGGGCUUAACCCCGGGUGUGCAGUGGGUACGGGCAGACUUGAGUGCAGUAGGGGAGACUGGAAUUCCUGGUGUAGCGGUGAAAUGCGCAGAUAUCAGGAGGAACACCGAUGGCGAAGGCAGGUCUCUGGGCUGUUACUGACGCUGAGGAGCGAAAGCAUGGGGAGCGAACAGGAUUAGAUACCCCUG
rnacentral:rRNA from 1 species